GCGGAUGUAGUGCAUGGUUCACCACUGCUACGACUAUGUUUGUGGUCGGUGUUUGAUCAGCAGUUCGACGGGGUUCGACUCCCCGCGUCCGCA